rnacentral:rRNA from 1 species
GAGGCGAACCGGGGGAACUGAAACAUCUAAGUACCCCGAGGAAAAGAAAUCAACCGAGAUUCCGAAAGUAGCGGCGAGCGAAAUUGGACUAGCCCUUAAGCUUUACACGCGUUAGACGAACGGUCUGGAAAGUCCGACGAUACAGGGUGAUAGUCCCGUAGUUGACGACGUGUGUUCAGUGAAAUCGAGUAGGGCGGGACACGUGAUAUCCUGUCUGAAUAUGGGGGGACCAUCCUCCAAGGCUAAAUACUACUGACUGACCGAUAGUGAACCAGUACCGUGAGGGAAAGGCGAAAAGAACCCCUGUGAGGGGAGUGAAAUAGAACCUGAAACCGUGUACGUACAAGCAGUAGGAGCA